rfam:Pteropus alecto contig51619, whole genome shotgun sequence.
UUUUUAGGAUAAGUAUGUCCCGUGCAAUAUUUGGGAUAUACUUAUACUAAAA